CUCGUCGCUUCAAGCCUCUGCCUGUCUCCUCUCCCACCAGCCAGCAGACUUCCCAAAGGGAUCCUAACGAACUGACCACCACCCGAUUAACCCCGGAACCGCAAACCCACCUCGGAGUGAAUUCCCUGUACCCAGAAACAACCUUCCAGUUCCAGCUCUUUGUUUCCAGCGUCCCCGAGUCUAAAAGAAAACUAUCUUGGUCUCUUUGUCUGAGAUGUUCUGCAGAUAAGAUUAAGAAUUUGUGAAGUGCACCAGCCCCUCCUGCAGCAAAACGUCCCCCGAACAUGAUGUUGCCACCUCAUCAUCCAGCUUCUAUCAGCAUCUUCACAAGGUCUUUAGCUUUGGUUCUGGGGUUGAUUUGCACAUUUCACAACAGAACCCGCUUAUCUGUGAUAACUGGCAUCUCCUUCCUGACUGCUAUGAUGGCUCGACAUUCUCAUGCUGUUUCCACUGGUGAUUAAUUGAUUGAACGGAUGAACAUAUAACCUUCAUGGAUCUUGACAUUACACUCAAGGAUGAAUCAGACUUGUGGAGGUCCGAAAUACUCCUCCUGAUAUAUUGUGAGAUUUUCCUUUUCAAUUAUAUCACAAGGAAGCAGAGUGUUCGAGGUGUUGCCUUAAAAUAGAUCUACGGGUGUGCCUUCAGUUAAUCAGAACCUUAAAAGGCUGGGCUCUACCUGUAUGGUUUAAAGCUAUUGGAAUGUUAUUUUAUGCAAACUUCUGAAUUUAAAAAGUCAGAAAAUACACAAAAAAUCUUUCUCUCAAUAUUCAGUUACUCAGCAAACAGAAAUAGGUUUUCAGAUGCCGACUGACUUAAAACAUGAAACAUUAAUUCUUAUAUAAUGUCAGACAGUGAGAAAAAAGGUUAUGUUUUGUUUUAGGGAGGGUAUGUAAAUAUCUGGUUUCAUCUGUUCAAGUGAAAUUUUAAAAUGUGUAAAAGUCUGUUUCAAACAGCAGGAACCAUAUUGCAGAACAUUUGAGAAAAGGUCAGAAAUAAAAGCGUUAGUCUUUGACAUAUUUUGACCUUUAUGUUGAUUUAAGAAAAUAAUUGUUGCAAAACUUUCUGUAACUUUAGUGAAGCUAAAUGCUGAAUCCCAGAGGUUACUGAGGAAUGCAUUGGGGUUACAUUCAAAACACGGAAAUUCCCUCAAAGGAAUUUUAUUAGUAACAAACAUUAUUUGUUAUUUUAAAGUAAAUUGAGUCUGAUGAAGUACAAAAUAAAGUGUGAUGUGUU